rnacentral:rRNA from 1 species
UACGGAGGGUGCGAGCGUUGUUCGGAAUCACUGGGCGUAAAGCGCGUGUAGGCGGCAUCCUAAGUCUGGUGUGAAAGCCCGGGGCUCACCCCCGGAAGUGCACUGGAUACUGGGAAGCUAGAGUACCGGAGAGGAGGGUGGAAUUCCUGGUGUAGCGGUGAAAUGCGUAGAUAUCAGGAGGAACACCGGUGGCGAAGGCGGCCCUCUGGACGGAUACUGACGCUGAGGCGCGAAAGCUAGGGGAGCAAACAGG